rnacentral:rRNA from 1 species
CCAAUAGCGCAUAUUAAAGUUGUUGCAGUUAAAAAGCUCGUAGUUGAACCUUAGGCCCGUGCGGGCGGUCCGUCCUCUGGGCGAGCACUGCUUCGUCGCGGGUCUCACCUUCUGGCGAGCGUGGAUGCCAUUUAUUUGGUGUCCGCGGGAACCAGGACCUUUACCUUGAAAAAAUUAGAGUGCUCAAAGCGGGCUCCGACGCUUGAAUACAUUAGCAUGGAAUAAUUAAAUAGGACGAUGGUUCUAUUUUGUUGGUUUCCGGGACCGUCGUAAUGAUUAAUAGGGAUAGUUGGGGGCAUUCGUAUUCAAUUGUCAGAGGUGAAAUUCUUGGAUUUAUUGAAGACGAACUACUGCGAAAGCAUUUGCCAAGGAUGUUUUCAUUAAUCAAGAACGAAAGUUGGGGGAUCGAAGACGAUCAGAUACCGUCGUAGUCUCAACCAUAAACUAUGCCGACUGGGAAUCGGGCGAUGUUACUUUUCUGACUCGCUCGGCGCCCCGAG